UUGAAGAUCAUGUGACACUAAACAAGAUGGCGAACUGUAGCUGCAAUCGUUCCUUUUUCAAUAUAAUUUGUUUGGGAAUUUCUUUUAUGUUAAUUUUUACAGCUUUUCAAACAUGUUCAAUGGUAGAAAAAACUGUUCUGGAUAGUGAAGCCAAAGAAAGUAAUUUUACAGGAAGUGGCUACACCAGUUUGGGCAUUCUGUAUGUCUCGUUCUCUGUUUCGAAUUGGGCCGCACCAUCGUUUGUCACUUUUGCUGGCCCCAGAGUAUCAAUGUUCAUUGGAUCUCUAUUCUAUUUUUUAUUUGUGUUGUCAUUUCUAAAACCUAUGGUAUGGGCGCUGUAUCUUGGCUCUGUUUUGGUUGGAAUAGGAGCUGCAAUGUUAUGGACUGGUCAAGGGAAUUUCUUAACAAUCAAUUCCAAUUCAGAAACAGUUGCCAGGAACAGUGGAAUAUUCUGGGCUCUUCUUCAAUGCAGUCUUCUAUUUGGCAAUCUGUACAGCUACUUUGUGUUUCAAGGAAAAACUGAGAUCACAGAUUCUGAGCGUUUCAAGCUAUUUGCUGCUCUCAGUGCUGCUGGUCUAGCAGGCAGUCUUUGCUUAUUGCUGUUGAGACGACCUCGAAUGGCAGAUUCCAGUGAUAGCAUUGGUAGUCUUAAUGCCAGUGCCAUUCAAAGCCCUCUGACACCAUUAGAGUCACUCAAAAAAUCUUUUCAACUGUUUCGAAGCAAAGAAAUGAUGCUGUUAUCAUUAGCAUUUGCUUAUUCAGGUAUUGCAAUGACAUUCUUCAGUGGUGUUUAUGGAGCCAGCAUUUCUCAUAAUUUACACUUUGGAGAUAGUGCUAUUGGAUUGUUGGGUAUCUCAGGGAUAUUCAUUGGAGUCGGAGAGAUUUUUGGUGGUGUUUUGUUUGGUUUGCUGGGCAAGAAAACCAACGCUCAUGGGCGAGAUCCAAUUGUCAUGUUAGGCUACACAAUGCACAUGGUGGCCUUUUACCUGAUCUUUAUAAACAUUCCAGAAAAUGCUCCACUAGAAGAUACAUCAAAAUCUACUUACAUUAAUUCAAACAAAUAUGUUGCCAUUUUGUGUAGUUUUCUCUUGGGAUUUGGGGACAGCAGCUUCAACACACAGCUCUAUUCUAUACUUGGUUUUAUGUUUCCUGACGACAGCUCCCCAGCAUUCGCUCUGUUCAAGUUUGUACAGUCUGUUGCUGCAGCAGCUGCCUUCUACUACAGUAAUGUCUUGAUGCUACAGUGGCAGCUUUUGAUCCUUGUUGUCUUAGGAACAUUUGGUGUCUUGGGCUUCAACCUAGUGGAGUGGAGCAGCACCAGAGCAUCACAACAAGGCUAUCAAACUAUAUGACAGACUGAGUCUAUGGUGAGCAACACGAAGUCUCUUCAAUAUGUUGUAGAUGCAUAAAACAAAAAACAUGAAUGUGUGCUUAUUGAUGCUGACGCUGCUGAUAGUGAUGAUUAAUGGUCAAGUUAAUUCCACAAAUUUUAAAGACCUGACCCAGUUAAGAAUGUUUUUUUUUGUUUUUAAAUUAUUUUUGUCAUCAGUAGGCUUUUUGGUGCACUGCAUUUUGUUUCUAUUUGUACAUAGUGUUUAUUGGAAAUAAUUCUUUGUAAAUAUCAAAUUGUUUAGAAUAAGAUUAUAUUUCUAAUCAAGGGAGUUACAUUUAAGCUUUCAGUCAUCUGAUGUAAGAAUUUAUUUUUCAAACCACAAUUUUAACUGUCAUCAUACAUUUGGGUUGGAAAAGAUUAAGGGAGCUGACAAAAACAAUUUUUGUAUUUGCUAAUUUCAAUUACCAAUUUACUUAAUGUGCUAAUCAUUUAAAUGCAAUUUAGUCAACUAAAAAUAGCUGAAACAUUUGCACUUUAAUAAUGUUCAUUAAAAUGGGAAAUUUUAUGCGAAUACUGUAGUCUUAAACUUUGUGCUUAUGAAUACAAAUCUGUAUGACUUCAGCCUUAUUUAUGGUUGUGCCUCUGAAUGCUUACACAUAUAUAGUGAGUAUAUCUAAUGAUGUCUAAUUGAGAUGAAAAGAAAUAUAUUUAUAUAAAUAAUGUACAGUAAACGUUGAUCUAUAAAUUCAUGGGACAAUAGACGAUGCCUAGUUCAUGUGCUUUUGUAGAUAAUUUGAUAACAACGAGGUUAUGUGACCAACAUAGGAAGUCACCUUUACUUUUCACAACAAAGGUUUUGUUACCAAGACUUGUGAACUUGGCCAUGUAUGAAAAUUCCCAGCCUUGACUAGGGCCUUAAUUGAGACCCCUCAUUUUGGGAUCUAAUACUUGACCACUCAGUCACCACAUCCCCAAAAAAUGAUUAAUCGAUGGCUAUGUAUAAUUUUGUCAUGAGACAAAAUGUUUAACUGUUAUGAGCAUACAGAGAACUUAUUACAUUUGUAUAGUAAUUUAUUCAUCUGUAGAUAUGUAUAUAAUCUGUACAAUUUGGAUGCUAUGGGUUUAAUUUGCAGAAUUGUUUAACUUAUAAAUGAUAUUAUGAUUUUCUAUUUGGAAAUGAACAAUUCUAUUUGUUUCAAUCGUCUUUCUUUUCUUUCCAAAUAAUGUACAUACUUUUAUCUGAUAUAAGCCUUUAGAACUGAUUUAGAGUGUUAAGGCUAAUCUGACUUUAAUGGCCAGAUUUUUAAAAAUUCUUUAUAACCGAGUAUAACCUAUAUUUGAAGAGGACAAAAAAAAGUUUUUGUUUUUUUUUAAUGGAUUUUAGAUACCUUAAUAAUCUGUGGACAUUUUUUUCGAAACCAUUUUGUACAAUUUAAAAAAUUCAGACAAUAAAAUGAUUUUUUUUAAAGUGUUAAUAGAUGUAAAAAUAAGAAUCAAAUUUUAAAUAACUUUAAAACUAUUAUUUUUUUUUUUUUUAAAUAUUACUUUUAGCUAGAAUAUAGUGUUCCAAUAGUUAUUGUUCUUUUGAGAUUUUCACUUUUACCAGCCGGAACAUACUAUUUCAUGAUUUUAACCUAUUAACAAAGACAUUUAUUUUUAGUGCAAGUUACAGUCAACUGUUAGCUCAUUGAUUAAUUCAAUAACAAAAAUAUACCUGCCAACAAGAACAAAGUGGGUUUGUUCAAGACCAUGUUGUGUUGUUGCAGAACUCAAGUCAUGACUUCAUCUCAACUCUGCCUGUGGCAUCUCGGUUCUGGGCGAGUCUCUCCAACUGUCCCAACAUCUUGCCCAUCUGCUUGGCAUCUGCUUCCAAACCACGGUGCCAUGUAUUCCUGGGUCGUCUCCUCUUUCCUUGGGGGUUCCAGGUUAGGGCUUGCCUUAUGUUGGAUGCAGGCUUGCGAAGGGUGUGACCUAUCCAUCUCCAGCAUCUCUGAAGGAUAUCUAUUUCAAUGGGCUGCUGCUUUGUUCUUUGCCACAGUUUCUCAUUCGAGAUCUUGUCUGGCCAGCGGAUCAUAACAAUCUUCCUCAGGCAGGUCAUGAUGAAUACCUGGAGUUUUUUUCAUGGUGGUUCUCCAAGUCUCUGCUCCAUAAAGUAGUAUUGGGCUAACAAUGGUGUUAAAGAGCCUGAUCUUGGUGGUGGUACUUAUUUCCCUAGAUCCCCAGGUGUUCUUCAGCUGAUGGAAGGCUGCUCAAGUCAUGACUUGCCCCAUUCCAAAGAAUUAUUUCCACCGUCUUUUGCCAUAUUAACAAAUGCUAUGUUUGCCAUACCGCCAACCUGACCUCGCCGUUGUAUAUAGAUGAAGGGUACUUAUAAACAAGUUCACUCCUUAUAUAUCUUACUCGUAUUUAUGUAUAUAUAUAUAUUUUUGUAAUCUAUACACAAGAGCAAAUAAUAAAAUGUUGUGUUUGUUAAAUAUCUUUAUUGAUAAACACUUCACAUAUUUACGUAAUGUACAGUUGUAUUUUUUUAAUCACAUAGUUUUUGGUUUUUAGUUGUUUUAAGUCACUGUAUUUUGACAAUUUCUUAUAAAAACUUGGUUUUAAAGACAUUGUCAUAAAAACUUAUUUUAAAUAAAUAAAGUGAAUGGCUGAUAUUUAGGUUAUCUCUUGACAGUAAAAAAUUCACUUUUGUUUCUUGUUUUCAAAUCAUGUUUUUUAACUUGCAUACAUGACACUGAGGAUAUUAGCCAAUGGUAAACUUGUCCAUUGUCUCCCAGUACUUAUUAAAUGAUAAAAACCUUUGA